rnacentral:rRNA from 1 species
AGCGGCGGAUGGGUGAGUAACACGUGGGGAACCUGCCCCUAAGUCUGGGAUACCAUUUGGAAACAGGUGCUAAUACCGGAUAAUAAAGCAGAUCGCAUGAUCAGCUUUUGAAAGGCGGCGUAAGCUGUCGCUAAGGGAUGGCCCCGCGGUGCAUUAGCUAGUUGGUAAGGUAACGGCUUACCAAGGCGACGAUGCAUAGCCGAGUUGAGAGACUGAUCGGCCACAUUGGGACUGAGACACGGCCCAAACUCCUACGGGAGGCAGCAGUAGGGAAUCUUCCACAAUGGACGCAAGUCUGAUGGAGCAACGCCGCGUGAGUGAAGAAGGUUUUCGGAUCGUAAAGCUCUGUUGUUGGUGAAGAAGGAUAGAGGUAGUAACUGGCCUUUAUUUGACGGUAAUCAACCAGAAAGUCACGGCUAACUACGUGCCAGCAGCCGCGGUAAUACGUAGGUGGCAAGCGUUGUCCGGAUUUAUCGGGCGUAAAGCGAGCGCAGGCGGAAAAAUAAGUCUAAUGUGAAAGCCCUCGGCUUAACCGAGGAACUGCAUCGGAAACUGUUUUUCUUGAGUGCAGAAGAGGAGAGUGGAACUCCAUGUGUAGCGGUGGAAUGCGUAGAUAUAUGGAAGAACACCAGUGGCGAAGGCGGCUCUCUGGUCUGCAACUGACGCUGAGGCUCGAAAGCAUGGGUAGCGAACAGGAUUAGAUACCCUGGUAGUCCAUGCCGUAAACGAUGAGUGCUAAGUGU